rnacentral:rRNA from 1 species
AUUGAACGCUGGCGGCAUGCCUUACACAUGCAAGUCGAACGGCAGCGGGCCUUCGGGUGCCGGCGAGUGGCGAACGGGUGAGUAAUGCAUCGGAACGUGCCAUUGAGUGGGGGAUAACGUAGCGAAAGUUGCGCUAAUACCGCAUAUUCUGUGAGCAGGAAAGCAGGGGACCGCAAGGCCUUGCGCUCUUUGAGCGGCCGAUGUCAGAUUAGCUAGUUGGUGAGGUAAAGGCUUACCAAGGCGACGAUCUGUAGCGGGUCUGAGAGGAUGAUCCGCCACACUGGAACUGAGACACGGUCCAGACUCCUACGGGAGGCAGCAGUGGGGAAUUUUGGACAAUGGGGGCAACCCUGAUCCAGCCAUGCCGCGUGGGUGAAGAAGGCCUC